AAAAGAAAAGUCUGAGAAACUCACAGCUAAGAGGAGCCUAAGGAGACAUCAUGGCUAAAUGUAGUGUGAGUGUGAUCUAUUGGAUGGAAUCCUGGUACAGAAAAAGAACAUUAGAGAGACAGCCUUGAGUGGAGAGUGAGGAGAUGGGAGUAACAUGUCAACUAUACCAACAUUGAAGUGUAUAAUCAUACCAGGCCAACUAUGUGUGUGUGUGCCAGUGAGCUAUGAAGACCAACUUUAAAAAGAGUGGCAAACAACACUAUCUUACACAAACUCUUUCAGAAUACAGAAGAUACUCCCAGAUAAUUUUAUGUAAUCUUGAUAACAAAAUCUAGCAAUAUCAUUACAAGAAAG
rnacentral:lncRNA from 1 species